UACGUAGGUGGCAAGCGUUGUCCGGAUUUAUUGGGUUUAAAGGGUGCGUAGGCGGUCUUUUAAGUCAGUGCUGAAAUACUCCAGCUUAACUGGAGGGGUGGCAUUGAUACUGGGAGACUUGAGUGUAGUCGAGGUAGGCGGAAUUGACGGUGUAGCGGUGAAAUGCUUAGAUAUCGUCAAGAACACCGAUAGUGAAGACAGCUUACUAGGCUACAACUGACGCUGAGGCACGAAAGUGUGGGGGAUCAAACAGG
rnacentral:rRNA from 1 species